GGAAAGGCCACGUACUACCCUAUCCCUUCUUUUAACUCAUUGACCUGCUGUAUGCAGAGCACUGCCUCUCAUUUCGGUUGCAGUGCAAUACUGAUCCCAGUUCCAUUCUCCCUCUGCCGUCGUUACCUUACAUCCAACUUCCUUGUCUGCGCGACGAGCAGAGCAGGAGGGGCAAGCUCCUGCAUCCCGUUUCGCUGUUUCAUCGGUAUCCAGGUUUCUGAAUGCACAAAACAAAAAAGGGGAAACAUCAGCAACAACAAAAACCCGCAAUCCCAUGGAGGAAGUGGCGCUUGCUAGCUUGCGACUGGCGGUAUCUCCAAUCUUGAAGGAGCUCAUCACUAAAGCUUCAACAUACCUUGGUGUUGACUUGACGCGUGAGCUCCAUCAACUGGAGACCACCAUCAUGCCGCAGUUCGAGUUGAUGAUUCAAGCUGCUAACAAGCGCAACCAGAGGGCCAUGCUGGACAAAUGGAUCCAGGAGCUCAAAGACGCCUUGUACAAGGCUGAGGACCUGUUGGAUGACAAAGAGUACAACUUUCUCAAGCGCAAAGCAAAGGGCAAGAAGGAUUCCUCCACCAACACUGCUUUGAAGCCUUGGCAUGCUAUGUCGAGCAUGUUGUCCAAUCUGUGCCCGGAGAACAGAAAGCUACAUUUCCGGCUCCUCUUCAUUGCAGUGAAAUAGUAUUUCGUUUGGAAAACAUGGAAGAUAGUUAGUUCCUAGUACUAUUCAAAUACCAUGCCUUCUUUGAACCAGAAAUCAGAAAUCCACAGUUGCGUGGAAAACAA